UACGGAGGGUCCAAGCGUUAUCCGGAAUCAUUGGGUUUAAAGGGUCCGUAGGCGGUUUUGUAAGUCAGUGGUGAAAGCCCAUCGUCUCAAGCGGUAGGAACGGCCAUUGAUACUGCAAGACUUGAAUUAUUAGGAAGUAACUAGAAUAUGUAGUGUAGCGGUGAAAUGCUUAGAGAUUACAUGGAAUACCAAUUGCGAAGGCAGGUUACUACUAAUUGAUUGACGCUGAUGGACGAAAGCGUGGGGAGCGAACAGG
rnacentral:rRNA from 1 species